GUCCGAUAAGUGUAAUGUUUUAACCAUAAAGAGAAGUUCACAUAUUGUAUCACAAAAGAAUAUUCAUUUCCACUGAAUUACAGAACUGAAGCUUAGCUCGGUUUGCUCGGUUUGCUGCUGAGACAAAGCUGCAACAAUCCAAUUUAACCGUGCAGUCUGUUCCGGUUUAUAACCGCCUGUUCUGUUCACACUGGUCUGUCCUUAAACCAGUUUACUCUGAGUUGCUGUGGGAAUGGACGGACAUGUUAAGUGUAUUUGAUGCAGAGAGAGGUCUGAGUGAAGAACUGUAAAAAGGGGGGCUGAAGGAGACCGGCGGAGGGAUUUUGGUGAGUACUUACCUUCUGAAAGUUUGCGCCCCUAUAACCAUUUAAACUAAAAGG
rnacentral:lncRNA from 1 species